UACAGAGGUCUCAAGCGUUUAUCGGAUUCAUUGGGCGUAAAGGGUGCGUAGGUGGCGCCGUAAGUCGGGUGUGAAAUUUCGGAGCUUAACUCCGAAACUGCAUUCGAUACUGCGGUGCUUGAGGACUGGAGAGGAGACUGGAAUUCAUGGUGUAGCAGUGAAAUGCGUAGAGAUCAUGAGGAAGACCAGUGGCGAAGGCGGGUCUCUGGGCUGACACUGACGCUCAUGCACGAAAGCGUGGGGAGCAAACAGG
rnacentral:rRNA from 1 species